GUCUGGAAAGGCGCGCGAUACAGGGUGACAGCCCCGUACACAAAAAUGCACAUACUGUGAGCUCGAUGAGUAGGGCGGGACACGUGGUAUCCUGUCUGAAUAUGGGGGGACCAUCCUCCAAGGCUAAAUACUCCUGACUGACCGAUAGUGAACCAGUACCGUGAGGGAAAGGCGAAAAGAACCCCGGCGAGGGGAGUGAAAAAGAACCUGAAACCGUGUACGUACAAGCAGUGGGAGCCUCUUUUAUGGGGUGACUGCGUACCUUUUGUAUAAUGGGUCAGCGACUUAUAUUCUGUAGCAAGGUUAACCGAAUAGGGGAGCCGAAGGGAAACCGAGUCUUAACUGGGCGUUAAGUUGCAGGGUAUAGACCCGAAACCCGGUGAUCUAGCCAUGGGCAGGUUGAAGGUUGGGUAACACUAACUGGAGGACCGAACCGACUAAUGUUGAAAAAUUAGCGGAUGACUUGUGGCUGGGGGUGAAAGGCCAAUCAAACCGGGAGAUAGCUGGUUCUCCCCGAAAGCUAUUUAGGUAGCGCCUCGUGAAUUCAUCUCCGGGGGUAGAGCACUGUUUCGGCAAGGGGGUCAUCCCGACUUACCAACCCGAUGCAAACUGCGAAUACCGGAGAAUGUUAUCACGGGAGACACACGGCGGGUGCUAACGUCCGUCGUGAAGAGGGAAACAACCCAGACCGCCAGCUAAGGUCCCAAAGUCAUGGUUAAGUGGGAAACGAUGUGGGAAGGCCCAGACAGCCAGGAUGUUGGCUUAGAAGCAGCCAUCAUUUAAAGAAAGCGUAAUAGCUCACUGGUCGAGUCGGCCUGCGCGGAAGAUGUAACGGGGCUAAACCAUGCACCGAAGCUGCGGCAGCGACACUAUGUGUUGUUGG
rnacentral:rRNA from 1 species